rnacentral:lncRNA from 1 species
UAAUAAGCUUUGAUAUCUGGGUUUGAGAUGCUCCAUAGUUUCUCAGAAGCUCUAAAACGGAGUCUGCUCUUUCUGGUGACUUCAACUCGACCCGCUUACAAGCUGAAAUCGCUCCUUCUGGGGACAACCCGCAAGUGUUUAUGAGGUAAGUGACUGUGAAAUUGUGUUGGUUUUCUGAGAUUUCUGACGUGAUGCGUCUGCAGAUCAACUGACUCUGAAGAGAAAAAUGUGAGGGUUUUGGAUCUCCAACCAACACUCUGUUUGUUUUGGAAGCAAAUGUACAAGAAAAUAUUGAGUGAACCAAUCUGAAGGUCUUCAAAUUGCAGAGUUGAAUCAUGUUAGAGGUUGAUGAUGAACAAUUUCUACAGGAAAACUUAAAGCCCUAGCUGAUUCUCUGCCUUCAGAAAAUAUGCAGUUCUCGGCAUUCUAAAAAGAUCUGAACCAUCCAAAUAAAAUUGCCUGGUAUAGGAUAAACCAUUGCAGCUAGGGUAAGUUUUCUUACCAUUUUCACAACUGACGGUCACUGGCUUACUGCUGCUAUCCAUGGCGGUAGGAAAUAUUCUGCCAGAAAAACCUCUUCAGUCUUCAUAGGUACAAAUCAAAGCAAAGCAAUUACUCCAAUCCCAGGCAAUAAGAAAACCCAAAAAAAGGGGUUGAAUUUCGAACUUAAAAACAGUCGAGGGCAUUUGUUUCUUUGGGACAAAGGGCGAAGAACAUUUGGGCGAUGAUGCUUUGGUUUAUAGACGCUCGACGUGGUUACUCUCAGGUGCGGCCCAGAAGCAAUUUGAAAGCCUCUUCUUGCAAUUGGAAUUUGGAUGUAUGAGUUAUUUACAUUUUACUGUGUGUUGUCAAAAUGCUUGAGGUUUUGAAAAUUACACCAACUUCUCCUGAAGUCUCAAAUUAUUCUCAUUAAAUCCGAUUUUGUUAAUUUUUCGUACAAAAGUUAAUGAUUUUAUAUAUAAUAAAGCUUACGCAAAUAACAAAUUUAAUUUCGGUUUGAUUAAAAGAAUAGCUUGUAAAAGGCUUGAAACUUAAGUGGUUAAGAGGAUAUAAUCCCGUCCUAAGUUCAAUUCCCUUCUACCGAAUUUCGCCUAUAAAAAUCGAAGUACUAAAUUUUUUAUUAUUUGAAGACAUUUUUUUAUAUAAAAUCAUCAAUUAUAGAAGGAAAAAUCAAUGGAAAAAGGUUUCGAGAAAAUAAUUUAAUACUUUAUGGAGUAUUUGUGUAAUUUUUGGAACUACAAAGGGUUUAGUAAAAGCACAAGUUUUAGUGUAAAUAACUCUGAAAUGUAUCCCCAUAAAAAAAAUUAUAAAAAAUUAAAAAAUUAAAAAAACUAUGAAAUGUAUAGUACAGUCCCGAUCUCUUGGACCACAGGAGUCCAAGAGAUUGUGGUCACCCACCGUUGGAUAUUAAUCCAAUGGUUCAAAAUGAUAUAUAUAAAUGCAAUAUGACAUAAAUGAUUAUUACCCGAUUCAAGUCAACCGUUGAAUUUACAUCUAACGGUGAGUGACCAUAACUCUCUUGGACUACAGGGGUCCAAGAGAUCAGGACUGAUGUAUAGUAUACCCGUAAGAUUUUAUUCUUCUAUUUUUGUACAUUAAAUACUUGUUUAUCCUUUUUAUAUUUGAAUCUGUUGAGUAAAUUGCCUCAUUAAUUUUUUAUUAACUUUUUUUAAUGUGAGCGUGUCAUUGUUAGCAAAUAAUACCCUAUGAAUUUGAAUGACUUUAUACACUUGAGCCCCAAGUAAUAGACUUUAAACAAACGAUUGUGAUUUUGGAUGGGGGAACCUCCUAAGAGAGUUCUUUUCUAUCCCUCAGACUGGUGAGGACUUCACAAUUUAUCUAGACAAAAAUGGUAAGUAAAGCAAAAUACAUAAUUUGUGGUGAAUAUAACAGACUAAUCCAAGCAGAACUGCCUUAAGCACAAAGCAUAAAAUGAAUUGCUAAAUCUAGACGGGUGUCAAAUUGUUGUACUUUGACUUCUACUUAAAAAUACAAUCAAAAUGAUGUUUUAAGGUCAGGCUGGACUGGAUAUUUCUGCACUGAAAUUGCACGUCAAUAUCUUCAACAAACAUAGAUUAGUUGGAAAUCAAUACCAAUGUUGGUAUUGGCAGAGCUAUAAACAAGUUGAGCCAAUAUGUAGGCUGGAAAAGUGAGCAGAACUACAGGCAAGUACCUGUUCUAGUUGGUUGUGUAUGAUGUGGAAGAUUUCUAGACAAUUUUAAGACAUUGAGGUAUCUUUAUAAACUUGUUGAGGUUUUCAUAUGAUGAAAGACCUGACUUCUAUUUGUGUUAUCUUAUUUGCUUUGUAACACCCCGACUCCAAAAUUAAUGUCUAUUUUAAUUGAUUUAAAUUAAAUUACGAAUUUACCCUUGGGGUAGGGGUAAAUUGGUCAUUUUCUUAUCCGGAAGGAUUUUGGGACCACGAAUGGUAUUUUUGGGUAUGUGGUACUGAGACGAAUUCGUAAACACGCGGUAGGCUUGAAUCGGAGCUGUAACGAAAAUGUUACGAUCAAAACAUUAUCAGUGGCAAACUUGUAAAUAUUUCAAAAAAGUUUGAUAAAAAUCAGAUUUUUUCACUUCAGCUCUCUCUCUCUCUCCUCGCACGCACUCGACUCUCUCUCUCCUCAGUCUCUCUCUCUCCCCGACACCAACACACUCUCUCUCUUCGGUUCUCUCUGCACCGGCCACGGCCAGGCACGCCACCAGUCCCGAUCGAUUCGCCUCGAUGUCCCGAUCAAGUCUAGCCGAUUUUCCCCAUCGGAAACCACGAACUCCGGCCACGAGCUCGACUGGUUUGAACCAGAGCUUUCCGAUCGUCGCGCCGCCUCCUCCGCCGCCCAAACCUGGUGAGUGAGGUAUGGUUUCUCAUCCUUUUUCCGAGUUCUAGCUGAUUGUUGUAUAGGUUUGGACCGAUUUGUUGUCUAGAAAAUCGAUUAGAAAACUUAGGUUUUGGCCGGAUUUCAAAGUAAAAUUCCGGCCAGUUGCCGCCCGAAUUGGACCUUCCCUUAGUUGAAUGAAGUGAUCCUGACCUUGAGUAAAAGCUAGGAUAUGAAGGGUGAGCUCGGGUGGAGUUUUUCCGUUAUCGGAAUUACUCUGCACACCCACGAGCUGCCGGCGCCUGUGGCUGCGCGUGGGCGAGGCUGGUAAAGAUGCAAUUUUACCCGAUGAGAUCCUUAUGUUGUCACGAGCGUAUAGAAAUUCACGGAUCUCAAUUCGGAUGUCGUUUGGCUAUCGAACGAAUUUUCGCAUAUUGUGAGUUAUUGGGUUCGAUAGGUUCCGACCAUUGGAUCUUUUUCAAAUUAAAAUAUGUUGUUCUAGGUAUUCCUAGGACCGUAUGGGACUUCACGGAUUAUGAAUCGGGGCCCUGGAUGUUUCGAUUCAAUAAUGCAAAGUUGGCUGGUUAGCGAUAACCGUAAAAAUCGUGAACGAUUCCUAAACCUGUAAUAGGACCUUAGGAUACCUUCUUCAACGUGCACGUAUUGGGAAUUUGGGGAUUUAAGCAUUUAAUUUGUGAUUUCCACUUCGAUGUAAUUUUAUAUUAAUUAAGGUUCGUAUCUCGAAAUAGGUGUUUCGACUGCACGUACUCAGCAAGCAGGACCCUCACGUGGUCAGGCAGCGUGGGAAUAUUUGUGAGUGGACUUUGUUUUCAAUCAAUGCAUGGUUUUAUUGAUGAAGGAUUUUUGCAUAAUGUUUUUAUGGCUUAUUGAAUAUAUUAUAUUCAUGAGAUGAAUUUGAUGUUGUAUAGCGCGUUGGCAAUAUAUUGUGAGUUUGGCAUUUUGGGUAUUGAGAGUGUAUUUUUAUAAGGGUUGUGGGGAAGUAUAUGUAUAUUAUUCUCUAUAGACGAGAUACUUGGGUUGUUGAAGGGUGUUGUGGAAGAACUUGAUUAUGAUGGGUUGUUGAGAGAAGUUGUAUGAUUAUACUAUGUAAGUACCUUCCCCAAGUAUUAGACUUUUCACACGCGGCGUUGGAUGUUCCGGCGUGUAGGAAGAAUAGGUUACCCGUCUCACUCGUGGCGUUGGAUGUUCCGGCGUGUGAGACACUUUCCAUAUGCGGCGUUGGAUGUUCCAGCGUAUGGAAAGACUCUGUAUAGUGUUUAGGGUCAUCACCCAUGGCGUUGGAUGUUCCGGUGUGUGAUGAUCCAGUCUGCGCACGUAGGACUUAGUUUGGGAGCCACACAUGGCGUUGGAUGUUCCGGUGUGGGAGCUUUAGAGUUUCGUCCCCCGGUUGGACCGCUCAUCCCUAGACGCAGGAUAGCACCUGGAAAUCCUGCGAACUAGUCAAACGAUUCCCUAGUUGGAUUGCUUCCCCGGUACCUAGGUAGUGUGAUGAGUAUAUCGUAUAGCUAGUUAUAGUUAUAUUCUUAUAUAUAUAUAUAUAUAUUUAUAUUUAUAUGUAUAUGUAUAGUUGAGUGAGUGAAGAAUUAGAGUUUUUCAGUGGUUUGGCAAGAGUUGUAAAAUUGAGAGAAUGAGGUUUUUGAAGGAGAUGAUUUGUAUUAUGAAGAGUUUUAAAUGAAUCAUGUUUUGAGUAAUUAAUUUGAAUUGUGAACCUGCAUGACUAGAGCAUUAUUUUUACAUGGUGGGGUUAUUAUAUUAUUUUUAACUGCGAAUUUGGUUUUUGUCCACUCACAUGUUUUCUGUUUUGCGCCCCCCAGCCAGUAGUCGCUCUAGGAAGCGUGCAAGUGGUGUUCGAGGCUCGAACUGUGAAUCUUCCUAGUUAGGAAUUGAGUAAUUUCUUCUACUCAACUGUUCUUGUAAUCUAAAUUCAAUAGAUGCUCUAUUAUCGCCCAUGGUAGAUUUUACUUGUGAGGCCGGAGGCCAUUUUAGUAUGACUUGUUGAAUUAUGAAAGCAUGCUGCUGGUUGGGAUUUUUAUUUGAUGUGCGUUGCAGGUUGAAAUUUUUUGUUAGGUUUGCUUAAAUUACAGGGGAGACUCUGCCAAAAUUUUUGGUAGAAAGUCUCGAUUUCUUAGUAAGUGGGCCCGGCAUCGGGAAGAUGUCGGAACAAAGACGGGGUCCGCUUCGGUUUCCAGGAAAUUCCGGGGCAGGUCCUGUCAUGCUGAACCAAAUUUGUAAGAGAAUUCAAUCCAUUAUAAGUUAUGAUUGAAAUACAUUGUUAUAUUGCAAAAAGAAUCUCGUCUUCUUUUUGGCUGUCUGAGAUUUUGUUUGAGUUGGGUUGCUUCCUAUAGAAGAUUGCUUGCUUGCCUUUGAUAAUUGCAAGAUCAUUUGAUCUUUGAUUUCUUUUGAUCAGUCUAGACUGAUUGUUGAGUUUUUGUUUGAUUGGUUGGUUGGUUGGUUGGGUCCCCUCUCCAAUCCAUGCAUUCUUGUAUUUAUAAGAGAAAAAUGAUGAUGAAGAUUGUUAAGCUCAUAAUUUCAUGCAUAUACAUGCCCUAUUUACUCACUCAUUUUGCUUAGUUUCUUAGAAUUUUAGGCCAAUAGAGCGAAAGAGAAUAAUUCAUGCAAUUCAAGCAUGUUAAGGCCAGAUUGGGAUGAAUGGAAGAAGAGCUUAAAGACAAACUCAUUUUGGCUACAGGCCCUCGCCAGUCCAAUUUCGUAAGUCACAUUGCAAGACUUGUUUCAGCAAACUACACAACUCAAAUGAGGCAUACUUCUGCAUGAAAGUUGUUCCAAUGGUUGUCUAUUAUAACAUAUCCAAAAUUCAGCCCUAUUUGAUAAAUCUGGAGUCCGUCACCUAUCAAACACAGAACCAUGCUCAGGAUGGAUUUUGUCAACGUGCCAAAUGACAUGUGGCUGAAAAGAAGACAUUCUGAACUUCAAGUUUGUGGGCUCAAAGUCAUCAUUUGCUUAAGGGUAGCCCAAUUCGUAAGCCUUGAAGUUGCUGGUCAUGCUAACCUAAGGAUGAGCUAAGUGUGCUUGGUCAUAAUGACAUAAGCAUGAGGUGUUAUUGAUUGUGGGGAAGUUAGGUGAAGCAUAUGCAUUUCUUAUAUUUGAGUGGAGUUUUGCAGCAGCCAAAGGGAAUAAAACAAGAUGAAGUGGGAGCUGCAAUACUAAGCCUAAAGAGAAGAAGAACUGUUUUCAAAUGCAAGUGUGUUUUAGGUGAAAUAGGUGUGGUUAGUGAACUUACUUGUAUAAUCUGAUUCACUUAACCCUUAUACCUAUAAAUAGAGAGUCUCCAAAGAGCUAUGUAGUCAAGAAAAUUCAAAUCCAUCAUUUACACUUACAUUGUACACAAAGAGAGGAAGAGUUAAGAGUCACAAAGGGAGAGAAGAGAAAAGGCAGCAGCUGGGAGGCUUUGGCCUCCUGGCAGCCAUGGAGAUAAAGCUUUUCCAUCUCUAGCAUGAUGUCCCUAUCUUUUUCUCCUCCCUUUGUCUUUUAUUUUCUUCUUGUAUUUCCUUAGCUUUACUUUGUUUUUCUGUCAUUAGUUAAUAAACAUCUUGCUAGUCUUGUAUCAUGGUUUGAGUUUAUAAAGUUUGAUUUCAUUCAUGAAUUCUUCUUCACUGUUUUAAUGGAGCUAUUUUGCAUCCUUUGAUUGAUCACCUGAGGAUUUAUGCAUUUUGCUCUUGUUGGUUGAUUGAUCACCUGAGGAUUUAUGCAUUUUGCUCUUGUUGGGAAGGUUUGGGGAUCAUCUUCAUUCCAUCCAUUAGCAACUCAUAUGAUUUGGUUUCCAGGACGCCUAAUGUAAACACAAUGCUUUGGGGUCCUUGUGAUGUUCAAUGCAAUUUGAUCCAAACUGUUUAGGCCAAAAUUCUACCCGUCAUCCCAUUUUUGUCGAGAGGCCCAUGAACCAAACAUUUGGGCUUUCAUCUAUAGGAAUCAUAAGGAAAAAAACCAAGACACUAGAAAAGCCCAGAUCCUUUUGAACAAAUUACAAAAGCAGCCAUGAUCUGAAAAGAAUAAACUACUAUUAUUUACAAUUAAAGAGCCGAUACACACAGUGUUGGAUAAAUGCCCAACUUCUGAGAAGAUCUCACCACUUGGUCUCUAUCCCAAAAAGCCAAAACAGCAUAUCUUUUUCUCAAGGAAGCGCCAGCGUGAAUUUCUGACUUUGAAAAAGUCAAAAUUUUCAACUAUCACAGAGGAGUUGAUAAGGAGUUAAUGAAGGCAGGUUUUACAGGAAGACUUCUCCAUUGUUUGCAGCCAAAGAAAGAAGAUCAAAAUCCCUUUUUAUAAACAGAGAAACUCUACACUAAAGCAGGUGACCUUUCCAAGAGAUAAGCAGACUACAUUCUCAAGAGAUAAGUAGGGAGCAAGGGAGUUGUUCAACAGGAAAAGCAAACUGACCAUCAUGACAAAUUGUGUAAUAACCCAAACCUUAAUUAAUAUUUAAUUAUUAUUUUAUUAGAAGGAAAUACAAUUUUGCCCUUGGAAUAAUUUAUUAAAGAAAAGUUAACUUUUUGACAGAGAAAGAAUUUGACAAUUCCACACACACCGUUGCGUAAAGCGCGACGAAAUGAGUCCGUAGACACGUAGCAAGCUUAAAUCGGAGCUUUAACGAAGAAAAUAUGGUCAAAAUACGUAGAGGGGCAAAAUGAUAAUUUGCAAAGUCAGAAUUUUAAAACCCCAAUUCUCUCUCUAUCACGAUCUCUUCUUCCCCUGGUUCGAAAACCCCCCAGCCGAACCUCCAUAACUACCCAGCCACUGCCACACCUCGCCCCGACCCACCAGACUGGACCUAAUCGCACCAGCGUCAGCUCCGCCGCCAAGCCCGACCUUCCCUGCCACUCGGCUGUCACGGUUUCGUAGGAAAAAUUGAAAAUUUCAUCCGGUUUAGUUUGAAAUUUCACAGCCGUCGAUCUCCGUAUUCUGACCACCAAAUUGGACGAUAAAGGUAUGGACCCUUACCUAUUUUUCAUGACUUAGCUGUUGGUUGGGUAGGAUUGAACGAUUUCUAGCCUAGGUAGAUCAAACCACAAUCCAAAGCUCGGUCGGUUUUGAGAUUGAAAUUUCGGCCACUUUCGGCUAGUUUUUGGGGUACGUCCAAGAACAAAAGUGGUUCCAAAUAGGUUGUUUUACAUAGAGUAGGAGUUUGGGCCGGUGGUUUGGAGUUUUUCCGACUGCCAGAAAUUUAUCAAGCCACCCACUCACUGCCGGCGCGUGUGGCGGAGCGUGGGCAGUUUAGUGGAGACCACAUUCAGUCCUAGAAUGAUCCUCGUGUUGUCAUGAGCGCGUAGGAAUUCGCAGAUCUCAAUUCGGAUACCGUUUGAGCCUCGAACGGAUUUUGCAUAUUGUAUGAUUUCCGGGUUCAAUACAAUUGAGCCGUUGGAUCGUAAUCAUUUUCAGAUAUCUUAAUCUACACAAUUCCAGGAUCGUUUAGGAUUUGACGGAUCGUGAAUCGGAGUUCCCAAUACUCCAAAAUCGCGAACCCUAGGGCUAGGGUUUUAGAAAUCAUUCGAUUGUAUGAUCGUGAUCAAUCCGACCGUCCGAUCGAGAUCAAACUCUCAGGACAUGUGUCCUGGGUAUAUUGGAACUUCUAGAGGCUUAUGGAUCAUAAUUUUGUGGUCGAACGUGCACAGGGUCUGGCUCGGAUUCCAAAAUGGAAUUUGGGUCGGGUCCUAUCCAAUUGUGUCUUUCCUUCUUUACAAGGAACAAAUAGAGAACAAAAGGAGUUGAUUUUCUUUUUGGGAAAAGCAAGGAAAAGAUCACCAUGGGAACUUAUUAUUGAUGGUUCUUCUCUGCCAGAAUAGAUAGCUUCCCCUUUUUGUGGCAUUUAAAAAGAAAGAUCUUUUGAAAAGAUUUGCCGUCCAUUAUUCAAAGAUUAAAAACCUUACUCCAGCAUUUCCUAUAAAAUAAGAGAGAGGGUGAACAGAUGAAGGACAGCCUAAAAAUCAAUCAAGAUAAAAACUCUCAAAGUCAUAACUGACAAACUCAAAAUGAUCAAUUGAUCUUAAAAGCCUUCAAACACUGAAGUGACCAAAGCUCAUCGAGCCACAAGAAACAAAUCAACUAUAAUUCAAAUCUCUGUUUUCGGUUCAGUCAGAGAAACUGUUUUACAAAGCGAGAUUUCUCUUGUUACAAAUUUGGUUCAGCACAAAGCCAAGUCAAGCAGAGUCAGGAUUUUUCACAAAUAUGAAAACCUCAACAAAUUUACAGAAAGCCUUGGUCAAGCAGGACAGGCACCAUAGUGCAGUUCCAGCUCAGUGACCAUCAAUCGAGCCACUUUUGUUCUCUUCAGACUGGAGAUGCCUCAAUUCAACCCUUUCAACAAGCCUUCCAUGGCUCGAAAUAAAUUGAAGCUCUGCCAAACUCAAAUGUCGGUAUCCAUUUCCAGCUAAAACUCAUCAGUUGAAGGUGUUGACGAUCCAAUCCAACACAGACACAUCCAAUCCAGCCCAGUUCAGAAGCAGCUACCCAGGCAGAAAUUGAAGUCGAACGCUCUGCUGUCUAUUCUGGAGUUGGCUUUUUCUCUUUCUGAGCUUUGUAAUGAGCAGUUCUGCCUAAACAGUUUACUUUCUUUUCAUUUAUUCUGGCCAAAACUACCAAUUUUGUACUGUGAAAAAUUAUGAAGUUCUCACCAGUCUGAGGCGAGAAAAGAACUUAUUUGAGAGAUAUUCCUCACCCAAAUUCACAAUUGCUUGUUUAAAAGUCAGUAACUUGGGGCGCAAGUUAUCUAUUUUUUAGAAGUCUGCUAGGGUUUUGAACUGCUAGCAGUGGCACGCUCACGCACAAAAGAAAGUUGAUUUGUUAACCACUAAUGGUUGUCAAGCCAAUGGGGAACUUUACCAUACCAUCACAGGAUUAAAAUCAAAACGGGUGAACACAAACACCAUGGACUUAUUUGUGAGGAUCGUCAUGAUUGAAUCAAUUUUUUUACUUGCUGCCAUAACGUGAUUAGAACAAUUAGGGUGGAUUCUAAAACCUCACCAUCUUGUCUUAGUUCUUUUCUUUCUUCUUCUUUUGUGUUCUUUUGUGUUCUUUUGUUUUCAUUUCUGUUUUGUGUAGGAAAACUGAAUUGGAUCAUUCAAUCAUCAAUCCCUGUGAAAUUGACCUUGCACUUACAUAUGCUAAACUACCAACGACUCGUGCACUUGCGAGUAUCACAAGUUGAGGAUGCAGCUGAAUCCAUUAUGGUGCAGCGUUGAAUCGACGCAACAAAGAUAUGGAUUUUUUUUUUUAAAAUUUUGGACUAGCCCCCAUUUCAUGCAAAAGUGGCAAAAGUUUUGUCAUUCCAAUGCAUUGAUCGUUUUUGGCACCUGCUCAUCAAUACUCCUGAAUGUCUCCUAAUCAUUCCUUUUGCAACAACUAGACUGAAGCAAGCAAUAAUUUCUAGAUUCCUCCAAUGUUGGUACCAUAAAUAACCAAAUACUCUUGGAAAAGAAAAAAUCCGAUGAUCAUAUAAUAAAUAGCCGUGAUUCUCAAGCAAGUCUAACUUUUACUUUUCAACUUUUAAGGUCAUCAAUUUUCCUUGUAGUUUAGUCACGAACGAUGAGGAAAUAUCCUUAAAAACUUUAACAGCUAAGAAAUUGUGAAUUUUGGACUGAAACUAAUUGAAAUAAUUUGAUUCUUGGAUUAAAUCACCACUUGUGGUAAUUCAUUUACCAAUUUAUCAAAAAAUCAUGAAUUAGUUAAAUCCCCCUUUGGCUAAAUAGUAAGGACUAGUCACCAUUUUUGAUAAACACAGCCCAACGUUUUGUAAAAUGAACCCAAUAAACCAUUUUGGCUAGCUCGUAGGAUUUAAGCCCAAACAAUACCUGUUCGGCUAGAAUUUUAAAAAAAACAAAUUAUUUUAUUAUUAUUCUAUUUUUGAUAAGAUUCUAGAAAUUUGUCUAAUCUCAUACCGGAUGUUUUGGGGGCACUUUUUUAUGCCAUGCGUUCUCUGAUGUGCAUUCAGGGGCUUAAUAAAAUAGUCUCACUUCGUCAUCUUUUUAUCGCACAAACACGUAUUUGCACAUCAAAAUUCAACACUUCGGUAUUUCUCUUCCAAUUUCAACCAUAAUUAGUAUUGUCUCAAAAUGACUUCAAACAUGACUCCAAAAGGCAUCGAUGCAUAGUGACUUGGAACACAAUCCUAAAACGUGUUAGUUGCUUGAUCCGAUCAUCAAUUUCAUUCAGAGUGACGAUUUUUUUUUUUUUCAACAACUCUUCUACAACAUUUGACCAUUUUUUUCUUGUUGAAAGUGACAAGUUUUGUCGACUUACAAAAAAAACUAUGCCAAAAUGGUAAUACUAAAGUCCUUAUCUAACCCCUAUAUCUCUUCAAUUGAGAGAUUUUUGGGGUUGACCCUUGUAGGAAGCAAGUGUUGGGUUCUUCAAAGACUAGGUAGAUAGAUAAUUCAAAAUUUUACCCAAUUUCUUAGGAUUUGGAUUUCAGCAAAGUGUUUGAUAGCAUUCUUGCCCUCCACGAAUGCUGGUCUAAAGAAUUUUAAUCGGGGGAAAGAAAACCCACACUCCAACAAAUAUUGUGUUUGAACAUUAAAGACUAAAAAAAUGUGUUUUAGCUAUAAUAUAGAAGAAGCCAGAGAAAAAAAAUUUAGCCCAGCCCUAUAUAAAUUCCUUUAUUCCGCCCUUGUUUGGGUGGGAUGAGAAAAUUUGUGUUUGAAAGGGGGAAUGGAGGAAGGGCCUGUAAAGAGGGAAGGGGGAUUGGAUUUCAAGGUGAGCGGGGUUAGUUGGAGCCACCGGAGGUGCACAGAUGAUGGGGUAAGGUGAUAUUUUUUUUAUUUUCAAUUUUAUUUUUUUAUAAUGAAUUUUCUAUUUUUAAAAUACCCUUGAAAAUGGAAAGACUAAAAUACCCUUAAAUAUAGAUGGAAAGUUGGUGUUAAAGUGAGAUGACAAAUCAUGAAUUUUGAAAAAUUAAGAUGUCAUUUCUCUUAAUUUUUUCUUUAAAAUGACAACUUGAUUUCAAGAUAUAAGUUCAUGUGACAUUUUAAAAAAUAAUAAUAAUAAAUUGCAUAACAUCAGAUUUUUUUUUUUUUUAUUUAAUGCAAAAAAAGGGAAAUUACAAGCAAAAAUCACGCGAACACGCAGUCCCAAACAAGUUGAAAAAGAAAGGAAUCGGACAAUUCAAAGGCAGACCCGCAUCCCAUAACUCUAUGACUAUUGCACCAAGUAAAAGGAAUGCCAGCAGCACAAGAGAAAUAAUUUCACCAUCAUUAAUAAAGCCAUUAAAAUCUGCCAAAGCAGACAUCAAAUGAGUGUAACCACCUAAUUUCUCACUAGGGGCGCAUAUAUUAUUAAAGUCCCCCAUAAGAAUCCAAGCUUCAGAAGCCGCAUGUUUGAGGCCAAGGAUAUCAAUCCACAGCUGAUGUUGUUUUUGUUUCUAGGGAUAAGCAUAGACAAAAGUAGCUUUCCAAUUUUUUUGGUCAAUAAGAUCUUGAAUGUGGCAGUGAAUGAAACGCUCAUGGGAAUCUAAAAUGGUUAUAUUAAUAAAAGAAGGAUUCCACAAUAAGAAUAUCCAUCCACAAUGACCAAGGGCAUGGAUACAAAAGAAACCAUCAAAACCAAGCCUCUGAGCAAUAACCUCAGCUCAACCCUAGAGGCUCUGGAAUCCAAAAUAUAGAAAACAUUCAAACUAGACGUACUAAUAUAAAAAAGGGCUUGCAAAAUAAAGCCAGGCCAACCACUGCCUUGGCUAUUCCAGAAUAACAUCUUCAUGGAUUGGGGCUAGGGGUGUUACCAACCAAGGGUUCAGUCUCCCUCAGAUACUCUCCAUGCAUCUCAACACUUGGAGCAUAAUUCUCUUCCACUUCCACCUCAUCACGAGUUCUCUUCUUAGGACUCUUGUAAGCGAAACCAGUGAAGGCACUGCUGCCUUCUUGGGAAUGAGCAGGGGCAAUCACAACAGCCCUACCCUUCCCCUUGCUAAUAUGGUCAACUGGAGAAAACUUAACCCCAACAUCACGAGACCCACCUCCUUCAGUAAAUUUGAUUCCCUUAGCAACUUCUUUAAAAGUUCUCCUAUCCCUUUCUUGCAUUUUGGCUUUGCCUUUACGGUUAGCCACAACCGUCCACCCUGGGUCCUAUACCUCAGUGGGCACCUUCUCACCCUGGUCAGAAUUUUCCUCUGCAAAAUAGUCCACAGUUAUAGGCUGUGGGAACACCAGUAUGACAUCAUCAGCUAGUUUUUGUUGCUCUUCAAACUCAAGGACUCAUUCCCUAAGGAACACAUUAGGUUCGUUCUCUAAUAUUUCAACCUGCAUGGCCACAUAUCUUUCCGGCUAAGGAGUGGGAAACCUUUCUCUUGUUACAUGAAUCCAAUUUUCAUUUCACCUGGGAAAAGCCAUCAGAAAGCUUUUGUUUGAAAUUUUGAUAGGGCAAAUGUGAUCGCGCUCCAUCUUCUGGCUACAAUAGAAACAGAUCGCAAAAAGGGCUUCAUAGCUAACAAAUAUUAUGGUUUCCUGGGGAUGCUCACCCAGAACUAGGCAUCUUUUUAGGGGCCUAGUUAGGUCUAACACAAGGUGAGCUCUAACAAACAUAAUCUGUUUACCCUCUGUAGACUGCAGGUCCACACUAAUAGGAUCUCCAAGGAUAGAGACCAAAUCAUAGAGAACCUCAGGGUCUUUGUAAUGGAGGGGCAGAAAGGGAAUUCUGACCCAGCCCACAAUGGAUGUCACAACAGCAUAAAAGGGUGAGAAAUCUGGGGUCCAGCGCUGCAGGUUAAAAAUCUGACCUUGGACAAACCAGGGUCUGUUAUCCAAAACGAAAAAAACAUCAACUUCAGCAUUGAACUCCACCUUAUACCAGUCUCGACCAAUAUGGUCAAUAGAGACCUCACCCUGCAGGUUCUUCCACUCACUCUUGAGCCUAUGCCUGAUAACUCUGCUAUUCACAGGAACUCCAAAGACUUUCCCUACCAAGCAGAAAGUCUCAUUGAGUUUGGACACUAGACGCAAGAGCAGAGGUGGAGACUUUGGUUUCAUUUCUUUCAAUCCUAAAGGUAAAUAUGCCCUUGUGUAACACAGAGGGUUCCACAGAAGACCUACUCCCCAAUCUGGGAGAAGACGUCGGACUCAAACUACGGGAUUUCGCCCGUGAAGAGCUAGCAUUAAGUUGAGCACUCAUGGUUGGAUGAGAGGAAAGUGAGCAAGGGCAACAGGUAUUAAGAGGAAAUUUAGAAGGUGAGAGUACGCGGUGGAGAUAUCUGGUUUUAAUUUUCUUAUAAAUAGCCAGUAUGAAGCUCUCAAAAUGAUUACAAACAUAUCCAAACCUCCAAUGCAUGCAAAGAUGAAGAAAGGGGAAAGAAGUUAUCUGACCAGAGUUGCUAAAAUCAGCAUCGAGCACCUCCCAAAUCAUCAGCAUCAAAAGGGGUUUCCAAUUUCUGGGGUAAUGAUUUAGUCUGAGACGAUCCUGGCCAUUAGAUUGAAAAAAGAAUGCAAGAUUAGAGUGAAUGAAAUUAAUGCAAGAUAGAGGACGAAGCAAAUUGCAAAAAUUGCACUUCCCAAAGGGAGUUCAUCAGCUGAUGCAUCGUAAAUCUCAAACGACUUCUUUUUAGCGCCACCUUGUGGUUUGGAUGAUGGAUCAACAAUCAUUUCGCAACCCAAUCACGGCAAAAGCUUUGGGGAGAAGAACCGAUUCAAAGUCUUCCCAAUACAAACAACCAUAGCUUCAGACCAACUUUUAGAUGUAAUAAUUGAACCCGCAAGCUUCACUUGAUCAUCCCUUUGAGCUUUUUGUCUUGCCUUUUUCUUCCUUCUUUUCCAAUUUCCCACCCUCUCAAGGACUGCCCUAAUCCCCUUUUUGCUCUCGUUCUUCAUUUUUCUGAAUUAAUUCAAUCAAUUCAAAAAAUUCAUUUCCAGGCACUUAUUUUUUCAUGGCUUGGGGGGCAAUGAACUAAGAAUCAAUCCUUGAAAACUAUAAACCAAGUAAAGAAUAAACAAGGCCUCUUUUUAUAUUUUGGCGAACGAAGAGAAGUACAUUGAACAUAAAUUUAUUCCAAAAAAACAGUGAAAUUGUUCCUUGACCUCCCUCUUGAGAUCCACACAUCUUUGCACAUCUAUUAGUGCGGGAUAGAUUCAUCCUAAAGACAACAAUUGCCAAACCACCCUACUUUGCAACUCCAUCAGAGCCGAGUUUUAUGUCCCCUGAAUUCCCAAUUCCUUAAGCAUUGCAGAUAUCGCAUUCCUAAUCGUUAAGGUCUCGGUAAAAAAGCUAACACAAGAGAAGACAAUGAGAAAAUGAUGCUUAUCGAGUCCUUCGAUGCCAUGUUGACAUGAUUACAUAUGAAUCUAAUCAAUCAUUGACACUGAAGUAGUUCCUAUAAACCAACCGUGGCCGCUUAAGUAGGCUAGCUGCAUCUCAGAGGACAAUAACUCAAAGAGCAAGGGAUAAAGGAUUGAGAGUCAUUCUUAUCUUUUGAAAAAUGGACAGAAAUUAGCUUCUUCCACUCCUCAACCAAAAUACAAUACAUUGUACCCUAAUAGAAGCAUUAUAUGCGCACAUUCUACAAAAUCAACUUUCAAGGGUAACCAAAGUCGGGAACCAUAAACAGAAGAAAUUCUAGCGACUCUACGGCAGGCAUUUGUUCUAAUAAGAAAGCAUAUAUAAAUCUAAUUAAAAACAGGUAGGCUGCCGAGUAGAAGAAUAAAAAACUGAAUUUACUUCCUGCAAAAUUUUAGUAAGAUGUGGGAUACAAUUUAAACCUUACUUUAAAGACAAUUUCUAGGGUAGAGGACAGCAUUAUAGUAUUGUGCCAAAUGCAAUCUAAUGCAUAUGAGUGAUGCAGCAUCAGGUGGCUAAAAUAAUUACAUCCUCACCCGUUUCAACAUAUCAGAUCAGACAGACUGGAUAUCUACCUUCCCUUGAUACACACUUAACAAUUCAGGUACUUCGCCAAGAUAUCUGUUCACAAAAAUCUCCAAGAACUGCUUCUCUGUUCGUUUCAGCAGAGAACCCAGAUUCAAGUUCUCAUUUAUGAAACCUUUCAACAACAGAACUUUAACAACAGAGCACCUUGGGAUAAGUCUCCUCUCCAAACUGAGACUGAGGACCACAGGAUAUUUGGCAAUCAUUCCUGACGACCAUCCCAUCUUGUUCACUAAAAGAUCCAUUGCUUGCAUAAGUUUCUUCUCCGAGACAAUCAUACACUGCGGGUUCUUCCUGAAGGCAGAGAGAAAAUCACCCUCAGACCAACCCCAUGUCUUAAGAACUUCGCGACUUCUACUCCAUACCAACUUAUUCUUACCGCACAAUGCACACAGGGCAUUCACUGAAGUUGAUUUUUCUAGAUUAAAUCCCAUUUCCUUAACCUCACCCACAAGUUGACCAAAGUUUUCAGCAUUUGCCAUCAAAACACGGGUACCACGAUUUAGCAAAGAAGAAAUGCAUGGUUGAGGCAUGCCCAAUUCUCUCAAAAGCCCAAUAUUUGGCACCACAUGCUUGCAGUGACCUUCCAAGAAAAUCCAUGAGUUGCGUUUUAAAACAGCAACAACAUUUUUCUCAGAGAGCAUACUCCUGAGGAAGUUAUAAGUGGGCAAAAUCCGAUUUCUCAAGCUGGCUGACAAAAGGUGUGGAUUAAAAGCCAGAGUUUUUGCAAAGUCCACUUUUGAAAUUUCAAGAGAGCUGAAAAACUCAAGCUUUGGCAAAAGGGUUUUCUCAGGAUCAGCUGAAAGAAGUUGUGGAUGUGACCUAAUAAGCUUUGAUAUCUGGGUUUGAGAUGCUCCAUGGUUUCUCAGAAGCUCUAAAACGGAGUCUGCUCUUUCUGGUGACUGCAACUUGACCCACUUAGAAGCUAAAAUCGCUCCUUCUGGGGACAAUCCACAAGUGUUUAUGAGGUAAGUGACUGUGAAAUUGUGUUGGUUUUCUGAGAUUUCAGAGGUGAUGUGUCUGCAGAGCAACUGACUCUGAAGAGAAAAAUGUGAGGGUUUUGGAUCUCCAACCAACACUCUGUUUGUUUUGGAAGCAAAUGUACAAGAAAAUAUUGAGUGAACCAAUCUGAAAGUCUUCAAAUUGCAGAGUUGAAUCAUGUUAGAGGUUGAUGAUGAACAAUUUCUACAUGAAAACUUAAAGCCCAAGCUGAUUCUCUGCCUUCAGAAAAUAUGCAGUUCUCGGCAUUCUAAAAAGAUUUGAACCAUCCAAAUAAAAUUGCCUGGUAUAGGAUAAACCAUUGCGGCUAGGGUAAGUUUUCUUACCAUUUUCACAACUGACGGUCACUGGCUCACUGCUGCCAUCCAUGGUGGUAGGAAAUCUUCUGCCAGAAAAACCUCUUCAGUCUUCAUCGCUACAAAUCAAAGCAAAGAAAUUACUCCAAUCCCAGGCAAUAAGAAAACCCAAAAAAAAGG